GAUGAACGCUGGCGGCGUGCCUAACACAUGCAAGUCGAACGAACGGACGAGAAGCUUGCUUCUUUGAUGUUAGCGGCGGACGGGUGAGUAACACGUGGAUAACCUACCUAUAAGACUGGGAUAACUUCGGGAAACCGUAGCUAAUACCGGAUAAUAUUUUGAACCGCAGGGUUCAAAAGAGAAAGACGGCUUUGCUGUCUGUAAUAGCUGGAUCCGCGCUGCAUUAGCUAGUUGGUAAGGUAACGGCUUACCAAGGCUACGAUGCAUAGCCGACCUGAGAGGGUGAUCGGCCACACUGGAACUGAGACACGGUCCAGACUCCUACGGGAGGCAGCAGUCGGGAAUCUUCCGCAAUGGGCGAAAGCCUGACGGAGCAACGCCGCGUGAGUGAUGAAGGUCUUCGGAUCGUAAAACUCUGUUAUUAGGGAAGAACAUAUGUGUAAGUAACUGUGCACAUCUUGACGGUACCUAAUCAGAAAGCCACGGCUAACUACGUG
rnacentral:rRNA from 1 species